CCUACGGGGGACAGCAGUGGGGAAUAUUGGUCAAUGGGCGCAAGCCUGACCCAGCAACGCCGCGUGAAGGAAGAAGGCUUUCGGGUUGUAAACUUCUUUUAAGGGGGAAGAGCAGAAGACGGUACCCCUUGAAUAAGCCACGUCUAACUACGUGACAGCAGCCGCGGUAAUACGUAGGUGGCAAGUGUUGUCCGGAUUUACUGGGUGUAAAGGGCGUGCAGCCGGAGAGACAAGUCAGAUGUGAAAUCCACGGGCUCAACCCGUGAACUGCAUUUGAAACUGUUUCCCUUGAGUGUCGGAGAGGUAAUCGGAAUUCCUUGUGUAGCGGUGAAAUGCGUAGAUAUAAGGAAGAACACCAGUGGCGAAGGCGGAUUACUGGACGAUAACUGACGGUGAGGCGCGAAAGCGUGGGGAGCAAACAGGAUUAGAUACCCGAGUAGUC
rnacentral:rRNA from 1 species